rnacentral:ncRNA from 22 species
GGCAAAUGCCGUGGUGCUUUGUGCCGGAUUGCGGGCCACGUUAAAGAAACCGCUAAAGAGGCGAGGGCCCGCCGCCC